rnacentral:rRNA from 1 species
ACGAAGGGGGCUAGCGUUGCUCGGAAUUACUGGGCGUAAAGCGCACGUAGGCGGAUUGUUAAGUCGGGGGUGAAAUCCUGGAGCUCAACUCCAGAACUGCCUUCGAUACUGGCGAUCUCGAGUUCGGGAGAGGUGAGUGGAACUGCGAGUGUAGAGGUGAAAUUCGUAGAUAUUCGCAAGAACACCAGUGGCGAAGGCGGCUCACUGGCCCGAUACUGACGCUGAGGUGCGAAAGCGUGGGGAGCAAACAGGA